rnacentral:rRNA from 1 species
CAGUAGCCGCGGGAAUACGUAGGUGGCAAGCGUUGUCCGGAAUUAUUGGGCGUAAAGGGCUCGCAGGCGGUUUCUUAAGUCUGAUGUGAAAGCCCCUGGCUCAACCGGGGAGGGUCAUUGGAAACUGGGAAACUUGAGUGCAGAAGAGGAGAGUGGAAUUCCACGUGUAGCGGUGAAACGCGUAGAGAUGUGGAGGAACACCAGUGGCGAAGGCGACUCUCUGGUCUGUAACUGACGCUGAGGAGCGAAAGCGUGGGGAGCGAACAGGAUUAGAUACCCGCGUAGUCCCUGUCUCUUAUAC